UACACACCGCCCGUCACACCAUGGAAGUUGGUUCUACCUUAAGCCAGUCCGCUAACCGCAAGGAGGCAGCUGACCACGGUAGGGUCAAUGACUGGGGUG
rnacentral:rRNA from 1 species